rnacentral:rRNA from 1 species
CUAAGAAUCUUCCGCAAUGGGCGAAAGCCUGACGGAGCGACGCCGCGUGAACGAAGAAGGCCGUGAGGUUGUAAAGUUCUUUUCGGGAGGGGGAACAACCGUGGCAGGGAAUGGCCGCGGGAUGACGUGAAUCCCGGAAUAAGCCCCGGCUAACUACGUGCCAGCAGCCGCGGUAACACGUAGGGGGCGAGCGUUGUUCGGAAUCAUUGGGCGUAAAGGGCGUGCAGGCGGUCCUGCAAGUCCGGCGUGAAAGACCCCGGCCCAACCGGGGGACGCGCUGGAAACUGCGGGGCUUGAGUACAGGAGGGGAUGCCGGAAUUCCAGGUGUAGGGGUGAAAUCUGUAGAUAUCUGGAAGAACACCAAUGGCGAAGGCAGGCAUCUGGCCAUGUACUGACGCUGAGACGCGAAGGUGCGGGGAGCAAACA